rnacentral:lncRNA from 10 species
CCUUCUGACAUGUAGAAUGUCAUUGUCCUUCUGAACAUACAUACAUACAUACAUACAUUUAUUUAUUUAUUUAUUUAUUUAUUUAUUUAUUUAUUUAUUUAUGAGAUGGAGUUUAGCUCUUGUUGCCCAGGCUGGAGUGCAAUGGCACGAUCUCAGCUCACUACUACCUCUGCCUCCCGGGUUCAAGUGAUUCUCCUGCCUUAGCCUCUUGAGUAGCUGGGAUUACAGACGCCUGCUACCAUGCUCAGCUAAUUUUUUUGUAUUUUUAACAGAGACAGAGUUUCACCAUCUUGGCCAGGCUGGUCUUGAACUCCUGAUGUCAGGUGAUCCACCCGCCUCGGCCUCCCAAAGUGCUAGGAUUACAGGCAUGAGCCAUUGCGCCCGGCCGUCCUUCUGAACAUUUAGAAUGUUCUCCUAUUGACAUUCUUGCCUGUUCCUUGGGAUUCUGUUGAUUUCCCAUCUUACAUGUUAAACCCUGGGCAUGCAUGACCUUGGAAUGCAUGACUGCUUCAGCUCAAUGUUUUUGCCUCCUAAAUAUUGUCUUUCACUUAGACUUUGUUCUUAAGCUUCAAACUGACUCUAUUUAGAUCAUUUCCACCUUGGUUGUCCAAUAAGCACCUGUACCUUUAAUAAUUUAACUUCUCCCAGCUGAACUCACUAUCUUUUUUUUUUUUUUUUUUAAGACAGGGUCUCGCUCUGUCUAUCACCCAGGCUGGAGUGCAUUGGCAUGAUCUUAGCUCACUGCAGCCUCAACCUCCCAGGCUCAGGCGAUCUUCCCAUGUAGCUAGGACUACAUGUGUGCACCAUCACGUCCAGCUAAUUCUGUUUAUUUUUGUAGAGACUAAGUCUCUCACUAUGCUGUUCAGGCCGGUCUGAACUCCUGAGCUCAAGCGAUCCUCUACCUCUCAAAGUUCUAGGAUUACAGGCAUGAGUCACCACACCUGGCCUGAACUCACUCUCUUUUAACAUUGCCUCUUCUUCUAAAAACCUACUCCUCUCCUUGCUCUCUGGGUAUUUAAAAAUGACAUCCAGGGACCAAUAGCCUAUUGCUCUCAUUCUCUAAUCCAGGCAAUUAUCAAGUUUUUUUUUUUUAAUUCUGCCAUCUAAAUACAUUUUGAAUCUUGCCUUGUUCCAAUGCCUCCACUAUUGCCAUGAUUCAGAUGCCCUGCUCUCACCAGGAUUAUUGCAGUAAUCUCCUAUUUCCCUUUCUCUGUAUUUUUCACUCUAAUCCAUCUAUCAUACCAUGGCUAAAAUAAUAUUUUCUUUAAAAAGCAAAUAUAACCAUGUGGCUCUCCUGCUUAAAAUGCUUCUUUUGUUUCCUAUAGACAGGAUAAAGUUCACAUAUCUUAGCAAAACAUGUCAGCCUCACUUCCUGACUCAUCUAUAAAUGCACUCUGGCCAUAUCGAAGUAAAUUAAGUUCCUGAAUGCAUCAUGCACUUAACCUGUAACUUUGCAUAUGCUGCUCCCUCUGUGUCUUUCGUGCUACUUUCCUGCUACUCCAGGUCAUCCUUUCUGACUCCUUAUUUCCUCUCUGCAUUUCCUCUGACAUGCCUCCACAGUUUAGCUUUAUCCUUGUUGCUGCAUGGUGUUGUCCUACCUGCACAUAACUAUAUUUUAAUAUUUAUUAUAUGAUAUUGUUUGACUAUGUCCCUUAAUAGAUUGUGAUCUCCUUAAAGGAAAGUGUCAUUGUGUGCAGCACCUACCAUAGUGCUUGGAGGCAGAAUAAGCCCUCAGUAACUUAAAAAAAAAAUACAGUCUCUCUCUUCCAGGUGUUUACUCUCUAAUGGUUUCACCACUAGCCUAAAUAUUUCUGAUAAAUGGUAGCUGGGUUUUCCUUCUGUUU